rnacentral:rRNA from 1 species
UACGAGAGCCUCGAGCGUUAUCCGGAAUUAUUGGGCGUAAAGGGUGCGUAGGCGGUGCGGUAAGUCUUCUGUGAAAUCUACGGGCUUAACUCGUAGUCUGCAGGAGAAACUGCCGUGCUUGAGUAUGGGAGAGGUGAGUGGAAUUCCUGGUGUAGCGGUGAAAUGCGUAGAUAUCAGGAGGAACACCUGUGGCGAAAGCGGCUCACUGGACCAUAACUGACGCUGAGGCGCGAAAGCUAGGGGAGCAAACAGG